rnacentral:rRNA from 2 species
AUACAUGCAGUCGAGCGGACCGACGGGAGCUUGCUCCCUUAGGUCAGCGGCGGACGGGUGAGUAACACGUGGGUAACCUGCCUGUAAGACUGGGAUAACUCCGGGAAACCGGGGCUAAUACCGGAUGCUUGUUUGAACCGCAUGGUUCAAACAUAAAAGGUGGCUUUUCGCUACCACUUACAGAUGGACCCGCGGCGCAUUAGCUAGUUGGUGGGGUAACGGCUCACCAAGGCGACGAUGCGUAGCCGACCUGAGAGGGUGAUCGGCCACACUGGGACUGAGACACGGCCCAGACUCCUACGGGAGGCAGCAGUAGGGAAUCUUCCGCAAUGGACGAAAGUCUGACGGAGCAACGCCGCGUGAGUGAUGAAGGUUUUCGGAUCGUAAAACUCUGUUGUUAGGGAAGAACAAGUACCGUUCGAACAGGGCGGUACCUUGACGGUACCUAACCAGAAAGCCACGGCUAACUACGUGCCAGCAGCCGCGGUAAUACGUAGGUGGCAAGCGUUGUCCGGAAUUAUUGGGCGUAAAGCGCGCGCAGGCGGUUCUUUAAGUCUGAUGUGAAAGCCCCCGGCUCAACCGGGGAGGGUCAUUGGAAACUGGGGAACUUGAGUGCAGAAGAGGAGAGUGGAAUUCCACAUGUAGCGGUGAAAUGCGUAGAGAUGUGGAGGAACACCAGUGGCGAAGGCGACUCUCUGGUCUGUAACUGACGCUGAGGCGCGAAAGCGUGGGGAGCGAACAGGAUUAGAUACCCUGGUAGUCCACGCCGUAAACGAUGAGUGCUAGGUGUUAGAGGGUUUCCGCCCUUUAGUGCUGCAGCAAACGCAUUAAGCACUCCGCCUGGGGAGUACGGUCGCAAGACUGAAACUCAAAGGAAUUGACGGGGGCCCGCACAAGCGGUGGAGCAUGUGGGUUAAUUCGAAGCAACGCGAAGAACCUUACCAGGUCUUGACAUCCUCUGACAACCCUAAAAGAUAGGGCUUCCCCCUUCCGGGGGGCAAAGUGACAGGGGGG